ACUCUAAGCGGUGGAUCACUCGGCUCAUGGGUCGAUGAAGAACGCAGCAAACUGUGCGUCAUCGUGUGAACUGCAGGACACAUGAACAUCGACAUUUUGAACGCAUAUCGCAGUCCAUGCUGUUAUGUACUUUAAUUAAUUUUAUAGUGCUGCUUGGACUACAUAUGGUUGAGGGUUGUAAGACUAUGCUAAUUAAGUUGCUUAUAAAUUUUUAUAAGCAUAUGGUAUAUUAUUGGAUAAAUAUAAUAAUUUUUAUUCAUAAUAUUAAAAAUAAAUGAAAAACAUUAUCUCACAUUUGAAUGUGAAAAACGAAGAGAAAUAUUUUCUUUUUCAAUCAAAUAAUACUGAGAAAUGUCUAGCAUAAAAAAUUGAAAUAUUUUUCAUCUAGAAUUGUCUCUUAUUAAUGAUUCGGAAAUAGAAAAUCUUGGUUAUGUUAUUAUUCUUCGUUGGUUCGUUAAAAAUGGAUAAAUAAAAACUUUGCAUACAAGAAUUAAUAAAAAUGUUAUAACGAAUUUAAUUAAAUGUUUUAUCAUUAUAUAUAAAGAAUUUAUGGCAAGAUAAAGUUAUAUACAACCUCAACUCAUAUGGGACUACCCCUGAAUUUAAGCAUAUUAAUUAGGGGAGGAAAAGAAAUAACAAGGAUUUUCUUAGUAGCGGCGAGCGAAAAGAAAACAGUUCAGCACUAAGUCACUUUGUCUAUAUGGCAAAUGUGAGAUGCAGUGUAUGGAGCGUCAAUAUUCUAGUAUGAGAAAUUAACGAUUUAAGUCCUUCUUAAAUGAGGCCAUUUACCCAUAGAGGGUGCCAGGCCCGUAUAACGUUAAUGAUUACUAGAUGAUGUUUCCAAAGAGUCGUGUUGCUUGAUAGUGCAGCACUAAGUGGGUGGUAAACUCCAUCUAAAACUAAAUAUAACCAUGAGACCGAUAGUAAACAAGUACCGUGAGGGAAAGUUGAAAAGAACUCUGAAUAGAGAGUUAAACAGUACGUGAAAUGCUUAGAGGUUAAGCCCGAUGAACCUGAAUAUCCGUUAUGGAAAAUUCAUCAUUAAAAUUGUAAUAUUUAAAUAAUAUUAUGAGAAUAGUGUGCAUUUUUUCCAUAUAAGGACAUUGUAAUCUAUUAGCAUAUACCAAAUUUAUCAUAAAAUAUAACUUAUAGUUUAUUCCAAUUAAAUUGCUUGCAUUUUAACACAGAAUAAAUGUUAUUAAUUUGAUAAAGUGCUGAUAGAUUUAUAUGAUUACAGUGCGUUAAUUUUUCGGAAUUAUAUAAUGGCAUAAUUAUCAUUGAUUUUUGUGUUUAUUAUAUGCACUUGUAUGAUUAACAAUGCGAAAGAUUCAGGAUACCUUCGGGACCCGUCUUGAAACACGGACCAAGGAGUCUAACAUAUGUGCAAGUUAUUGGGAUAUAAACCUAAUAGCGUAAUUAACUUGACUAAUAAUGGGAUUAGUUUUUUAGCUAUUUAUAGCUAAUUAACACAAUCCGGGGCGUUCUAUAUAGUUAUGUAUAAUGUAUAUUUAUAUUAUUUAUGCCUCUAACUGGAACGUACCUUGAGCAUAUAUGCUGUGACCCGAAAGAUGGUGAACUAUACUUGAUCAGGUUGAAGUCAGGGGAAACCCUGAUGGAAGACGCGAAACAGUUCUGACGUGCAAAUCGAUUGUCAGAAUUGAGUAUAGGGGCGAAAGACCAAUCGAACCAUCUAGUAGCUGGUUCCUUCCGAAGUUUCCCUCAGGAUAGCUGGUGCAUUUUAAUAUUAUAUAAAUAAUCUUAUCUGGUAAAGCGAAUGAUUAGAGGCCUUAGGGUCGAAACGAUCUUAACCUAUUCUCAAACUUUAAAUGGGUAAGAACCUUAACUUUCUUGAUAUGAAGUUCAAGGUUAUGAUAUAAUGUGCCCAGUGGGCCACUUUUGGUAAGCAGAACUGGCGCUGUGGGAUGAACACAAACGUAAUGUUACGGUGCCCAAAUUAACAACUCAUGCAGAUACCAUGAAAGGCGUUGGUUGCUUAAAACAGCAGGACGGUGAUCAUGGAAGUCGAAAUCCGCUAAGGAGUGUGUAACAACUCACCUGCCGAAGCAACUAGCCCUUAAAAUGGAUGGCGCUUAAGUUGUAUACCUAUACAUUACCGCUAAAGUAGAUGAUUUAUAUUACUUGUGAUAUAAAUUUUGAAACUUUAGUGAGUAGGAAGGUACAAUGGUAUGCGUAGAAGUGUUUGGCGUAAGCCUGCAUGGAGCUGCCAUUGGUACAGAUCUUGGUGGUAGUAGCAAAUAAUCGAAUGAGACCUUGGAGGACUGAAGUGGAGAAGGGUUUCGUGUGAACAGUGGUUGAUCACGAGUUAGUCGGUCUAAGUUCAAGGCGAAAGCCGAAAAUUUUCAAGUAAAACAAAAAUGCCUAACUAUAUAAACAAAGCGAAUUAUAAUACACUUGAAUAAUUUUGAACGAAAGGGAAUACGGUUCCAAUUCCGUAACCUGUUGAGUAUCCGUUUGUUAUUAAAUAUGGGCCUCGUGCUCAUCCUGGCAACAGGAACGACCAUAAAGAAGCCGUCGAGAGAUAUCGGAAGAGUUUUCUUUUCUGUUUUAUAGCCGUACUACCAUGGAAGUCUUUCGCAGAGAGAUAUGGUAGAUGGGCUAGAAGAGCAUGACAUAUACUGUUGUGUCGAUAUUUUCUCCUCGGACCUUGAAAAUUUAUGGUGGGGACACGCAAACUUCUCAACAGGCCGUACCAAUAUCCGCAGCUGGUCUCCAAGGUGAAGAGUCUCUAGUCGAUAGAAUAAUGUAGGUAAGGGAAGUCGGCAAAUUAGAUCCGUAACUUCGGGAUAAGGAUUGGCUCUGAAGAUUGAGAUAGUCGGGCUUGAUUGGGAAACAAUAACAUGGUUUAUGUGCUCGUUCUGGGUAAAUAGAGUUUCUAGCAUUUAUGUUAGUUACUUGUUCCCCGGAUAGUUUAGUUACGUAGCCAAUUGUGGAACUUUCUUGCUAAAAUUUUUAAGAAUACUAUUUGGGUUAAACCAAUUAGUUCUUAUUAAUUAUAACGAUUAUCAAUUAACAAUCAAUUCAGAACUGGCACGGACUUGGGGAAUCCGACUGUCUAAUUAAAACAAAGCAUUGUGAUGGCCCUAGCGGGUGUUGACACAAUGUGAUUUCUGCCCAGUGCUCUGAAUGUCAAAUGAAGAAAUUCAAGUAAGCGCGGGUCAACGGCGGAGUAACUAUGACUCUCUUAAGGUAGCCAAAUGCCUCGUCAUCUAAUUAGUGACGCGCAUGAAUGGAUUAACGACGGGACGUGUUUUUCGUUGCGCUCGUGACAUAGUGCGAAGAAACUUUGUUUUCCGUAUUUAUGGAAGUAUACGAAUAAAUAAAUUUAGUGUUCCGUGGAAGUGGUGCGCAAAUUUUCGGCGAAUUAAAACAAGCGGUUUGGAGUAAUUGACAAUAAAUUAUUGGAAAUUUCCACUCCGCACGUGUUGAGCGCGAGCUUGCGGGUGAGCUUUUCGAAGCAGCUGAGAGAAGCUUAUUGGUGGUAGUCACCGCUAAGGAAUUGUGUCUUGGGACAGCUUAGUGCACUCUACGCAAUAGGUGGAGCUAAUAACCAUAGCAACUAGCCCGUGUCAGCGAGCAAUACGAUUGCUGGACUCGGUCAAAAGGAGGAACCAACCAUCGGAGCAACGCCGAUGGAGAGCGACAGCAGUGUGGUGCCUUGAGCGGAAGCAGUGCCUCAAGGUGU
rnacentral:rRNA from 1 species